UAGGGAAUAUUGCAAAAUGGGCGAAAGCCCGAUGCAGCAACGCCGCGUGGGCGAUGAAGGCCUUCGGGUCGUAAAGCCCUUUUUGAGGGGAUGAGGAAGGACAGUACUCUCAGAAUAAGCCUCGGCUAACUACGUGCCAGCAGCCGCGGUAAAACGUAGGAGGCGAGCGUUAUCCGGAUUUACUGGGCGUAAAGCGCGUGCAGGCGGAUUGGAGAGUUGGAUGUGAAAGCUCCCGGCUUAACUGGGAGAGGUCGUUCAAUACUUCCAGUCUUGAGUGCAGUAGAGGGAAGUGGAAUUCCGGGUGUAGUGGUGAAAUGCGUAGAUAUCCGGAGGAACACCAGUGGCGAAAGCGGCUUCCUGGACUGUAACUGACGCUCAGACGCGAAAGCUAGGGU
rnacentral:rRNA from 1 species